rnacentral:misc_RNA from 1 species
UGACAUUCACCAAAGAGAGUUUCUUUCACCAAUUUCUUGCACUAAGGGAGAUGGAUCCAUUAGAUGUUCUCGGUCAGAACCCAGAUUCCAUUUUUGGUAAAUUUUGCAAUUUUGCAGGAGCAAAUACCUGGUGGUGGUUCAUCCAAAGAUGGAAGCUUCAUUCUUUGGAAAUUUGGAUCAGCGAAAUUAUGUAAUGGGGGGUGGGCAUCCAAGAACUCCCUUUUACCAAGCUUUCUUAAAAUUGGCCAAGUCAAUCUGGCUUCUGCACAGGCUGGCAUAUUCUUUUGAUCCUGAUGUUAAAGUCUUUCAGGUUAAGAGGGGUAGUGAGUUCUCGGAGAUUUACAUGGAAAGUGUCGUGAAAAAUCUGAUAUUGGAUGAAAACCAGAGGCCUACCGUUGGGCUAAUGGUUAUGCCUGGUUUUGGGAUAAGAGGCAGUGUGAUUCAGAGCCGUGUAUAUCUCGCAGGUGUGAAGGUUGCUGAAUAACUUUGAGCUAAUUAUGUGGUGUGUUUCAAUAUAAUUUACUAUUACCUUCGCUUAUAGUGUGUUGUAAUCUUUGUAAUGUAAUGAUUGUAUUAUUGACGUUGUAUGAGGUGGAAUUAGCUUCCGAAUCUGUAAAAAGUCUCUCUCAAUCGCGUGACGAUCUAGCGGUUCAAAAGCAGGGUCAAUUAUGGCAAUAUGGCAU